rnacentral:rRNA from 1 species
UACGUAGGUGGCAAGCGUUGUCCGGAUUUACUGGGCGUAAAGAGCGCGCAGGCGGUCGAGUAAGUCGAAUGUGAAAGCCCCCGGCUUAACUGGGGAGGGUCAUUCGAUACUGUUCGACUUGAAGGCAGGAGAGGGCAGCAGAAUUCCCGGUGUAGUGGUGAAAUGCGUAGAUAUCGGGAGGAAUACCAGUGGCGAAGGCGGCUUCCUGGACCGACACUGACGCUGAGGCGCGAAAGCUAGGGGAGCAAACGGG